UGAAGUAAAAGUCGUAACAAGGGCUCCGUAGGUGAACCUGCGGAGGGAUCAUUACAGAGUUCAUGCCCUACCGGGUAGAUCUCCCACCCUAUGUUAUUAUUACUUUGUUGCUUUGGCGGGCCGUUAGGCUCCGGCCCGACUACCGGCCCCGGCUGGUAAGCGCCCGCCAGAGGACCCAAAACCCUGAAUAUUAGUGUCGUCUGAGUACUAUAUAAUAGUUAAAACUUUCAACAACGGAUCUCUUGGUUCUG
rnacentral:misc_RNA from 1 species